rnacentral:lncRNA from 1 species
UAUACCAAAAUUUGUUAAUGACUCAUUAUUCUAACAUUAGCAGGUGGAGUUUCAAAAACUAGAAUAAUAAACGCAGUUUGCUAAAUGAAGAAAAUAAAAUAAAUAAGAAAUAAAAUAUACGAGCAACUACAUGAAAUCGCAAGAAGUAAAGGUAGAGAAAUAAAAUACAAAUAAUGUACAAAAAAAUAUUUAAAAUUUUAAAAAUAAAUAAAAAACUUAAAAAACUAAAAAUAAAAAGUUAUAAAGAAAAUAAAUUAAAAUAAAAAUAAAAUGCAAAUAAAUUAAAAAGUAACCUUGAAAUUACCACCAACUCUCACCCACCUCCCUCUUGAAAAUUGUAGAUUGUAAUUACACAUCUCCAAUUACAUCCAAUUACAUGCGGACCAAAUAAUUAUUUGGCCAGACAAAUAUUCCACACCGUGUAAUUACACCUAAAUUCAAUUCCUAGAUAAUUUUCCAAACAGUAUUGGAAUUGCGAGUUUUGUUUAAAAUGAUCAUACUCUUCUUGAUCUUUAAAAAUAUUACUCCCUCUUGCCAAUUUAAAAUGCCAGACACCAGUAAAUUUCUAUAAAACUUACAAAAUUUUGAAGCCCUUAAACUAAUUACACUAUACAAAUUUUAAAUUUUGAUGUAAUGUUUGUCUAACUUUUCAGCCAUCACUCAAGUAUUUUCUUCCAUCAAUAGAAUAAUAUAUUUGCAUCAACUACUAAUACUUGCAUCAGAUUAAGCUUACAUCAGGAUAGAUUGUUUAUGUUACACUCUUUUGGGUUGCAGCCCUUUUCCGAAUUCUACUAUGCUAGAUAUUUCGUACACCGAUAUGCCUUAGUCACAAGAACAAUAUGGAUGUCAUUACCACUUUAAAGUCAAUAUUUAAUCAAAUACGUUGGUAUAAAAUAAAAAGGUAUAGAGUAUUUACCGUGUCAUUUCAAAAAGAAAAAAAAACAAGUAUAUGAGUGCUAUCUUCUUAUCCGGGACCAGAUAGUGCAAUUAAAUUGGCCCAAGGUAAUUACACUGUUAUCUGCUGUGUAUAACUUAUUUAAGUCAGCGAGAGCUCCCGAUUAUCACUCGAUAUACAUAAUUCAACUAUUUCACUGUGUGAGAAGUAAGAAUUUUGACACUAGACAUGUAGGCAGACACCUAUUCCACCGGAAUCUCUCACCAGUACAAAUACAUAAUUCCACUGAGACUUAGACAUGUAGCAAGAAAUCAUCUUAAUAUUUUUGGUCUCACUAAAUGUGGACCGUAAGCUUACAUGAUUUUCACCCGCUUUAUUCAUCUAGGCCACACAGAUGCGGUAAACAAUUCCAGUUAGUUUUGUAAUAUCGAAGAACUUUGGAAAGAUACACUUUUGUUAUGGAAAAAGAACGUAAAAGGCACCUUAAGCUUUAUAUAAUUGUUUGUCUCUGUCCACACUUCUAUUAGGAAAGUCAAUGAACAUAAAAAUUGUGAGAGACUUUGUCACGCCUCAAUUGAAUAACUUAAAUAUCGUAGCUUCGUGUCCCAAGAUUGCAAGAAACCCUAAAAAUAAUUGAUCAAUUACCAAAGCAAACGAUUGAACUCGUUUGCAACCUAUAAAAAAAUUAAAAUGAGCAUCACAUAUUACGGUAUCAACAAUAAAAACAAACUCAAUGGUUUCCCACAAAUGGAAUAUAUAGGGAGGGUAAGAUAUACGUUGUCUCAUUCCUACUUUGAAAGAGCAGAGAGAUUGUUUACAACAUCAAUAAUUUAAUUUCACCCCAGAUUUCUACACAUCGAGUGAGGUGCUCAAUAUAAAUCCUUCAUUGUCCCCAAAAUAUAUACUAGGAAGUAGAAUUUCCAAUAAAAUCAAUAGAACCCAUUGGAAGACAAAUUAAAUAUACAAUUUCCACUCAAGAAAAAAAACAAAAAUAAUAAGCAUUUAUUGUCAAAACACGAAUCCCAUACCUUACCCACAGAUUUCUACACAAUGUGACAUUGUAUGUUGUAUGAACAUAAUUUAAAGAUUGACAUAAUUUUAAGUGACAUUGUAUGUUGUAUGAACAUAAUUUAAAGAUUGACAUAAUUUUAAGUAAAUUGGGAACGGCUAUAUAAAUUUUUUUAAUACCACUCAUUUAAACUCAUUUCAAAUUACUAUUAUCAAAAUAAAAAGUAUUAAAAAUUUAUAUUUUGCUGAUAUAUAAAUUUCUAACAAGACUAAAUUAUAAACGAAAAAAUAUGACUAAACCACAUUCCUUACUAAUUGGUAGCACCUCUAUAUAUAUAUAUAGAGCUUAUUUCAUAGGUCAAUAUGGAUUUCAAGAGUUUGUAAGUCUUCGGACGUAAUUUUCUUUCAUGUAAUUUAGGUUUAUCUCGUUCAAUUUUAACAAUUUCAUUUUUCAUGGUUUCACACUUAUAAACUAGUGCAUCUAGAGUUCGACGUAAGACAUGACAAAUGAAGCGAAAUUUUCUUAAUUUUAUCCUUCACGUUUUCCAAUUAUCAAAAAAAAUUCAUCCUCAAUUACUAUUUUUUUGAUAAUCAUGGUGUUCGGGCCAGCUUGUGCGUACAUCAACUAAGCUAUCUUCUACCAGCAACACGUUCCAGGUAACUCUAUCCACCUAAGUUUGGACAGAGAAAAAGAAAUCACCAAAUAUUUUUAUCUCCGUUAGAAUUAUGAACCAAAGACGGUUCUCAAUCCAUUUUAAUUGCUACUAGGGCCACGCUGUUGGGUGCAAGUCUCAAUAUUUUUUACUUACACUUUUGCCUAAUUUGAUUAUUUUAAUCUUCUCUAAUCUUGUAUGCCCUCAAAUCAUUCAGAACUCAGAAAAUAUUCAUCUUGUCAAAGUUGGACUUUAGCUCAAGAUUCACUCUCACAUAAUUACAUUAUUGGUCUCCUAAUUGUUUUAAAAAACGAAGGCGUCAUUCUAUUACACAGCACCUCAAUAGCACUUUUCCAUUUCAACCACCAUAUUUUGAUUAUGUCAUAACAUUUUCAUCUAUCAUAUCUUCCCUCUAAUAUAUCAAACCUAAAUAUCUCUUAGGCACCAUAGUUCCAUCAAUCUCAUAUUAAUUUCACUCGUUUUGUGCUGACCAAAAUUGCAGUGAUAUGAAAACAUAGAUACAUAUCUAGAAAUUCAUCUAGAACUAAUCUAUAAGAUUCCCCACCGACCAGAGUAAGUAAUGAAAAUGACAUUUAUAAAACAGAAUCCAGCCUAGUUUUACAGGCAAAAGUUUUCAGACCAGAGCUUGCCACUAUCAUCCUUUAUUUCUACCCAAAAAAAUAAUAUUUGUUGGAGAGAGCGGUUAUGUUGUGACAACAAUUUAACACACUCAGGUGCGUUUGGUUGGAAACAAAUCGGGAUUAAUUAUUUCGAGAUUAAUUAUUUUGAAAUUAGUUAUUUCACUUUCUCAUAAGAAUAAAAAAUGUUAUAAUUUCGAAAUUAUUAAUCAUCAAAAUUAAUUAUACUGUAAUUUUAUCCCAACUAAAUAUAAGAUAAACUUAUCUUAAAUUUAAUCCUAAAAUUAAUUAUUUAUUAUCACUCGUACCAAUCGAACCUCACUGCUCGAAAAAAACAAGAAAUUACAACCAAUUUUGUCAUUAACGUCAAUUGCUAAUUACACCCAUACAAAGUGUUGUAGACAUACGCGUGGUUGGCCAUAGAUUAUUAGCGGCGCUGUGAGAACAAAUACAAACAUUGAAAACUCAUAAUUAAGUAAUACUUUUGGGACUGCAGGCACAGAGAUAAACUCUAGGAAUUUGCAUCUAGAAACACAUAUGUAGAAAUCCCCAUAUUAAAAUAUAGAGAUAGACAACAACAGCAAUAAUUAUAUUAAUAAAUAAAAUAAAAUAAAGGUAAGAAAGAGAAUAGAGACCUGACUGCUGGGAAGUUGGGUGGAAUUGUGGAUAACAUCAAAGGGGGAAAGAGAGAAAAAGAUGGAAUUGGCUUCCUUUUCUCUUUCUCGAUCUGAUCUGAUCUGAUGAGGAGACCUGCUUCAGCCAAUCAUCUUCUUCCUCAGAAAUUUGCCUCCCUCAUCAGAGGGUUUUAACCAAUCGGAUUCUUCCACUAAAUACAUAACAAAACCAACCUCUCUAUCCGUUUUCUUUGGAUUCCAUUCACACCUUUAGCCAACAAUGUCUUGUGCUAUUUUUCUCCCUCUUAUCUCCUUAUCCGCUUAAUCAAAGCUGAGCAGCAGAGGCACCGAGUAAGUGGAUGGAAAACUCAGGAUUUAUUAUUGACUGAUUUUUCUUUACUUGCUUAUGGCUUGGUAGCUCUUUUACUCUUUUCCCUUGUUUUUAUUGUAAGGUGAAAAGUGUACGGACGCUUUAACGACACAUAAAUCCACACGCAAAAUUUACUCUCUGUUUUUUCUUUAAAAAAAAUAAUAAAUAUAUCUAUUAAAAAAUACUGUCUAUCAUCACUUGGACA